CUGUGUUUUAGCUCUUUUUCAUUCAAAAGGUAAUGCUGCUUACCAUUGGUAAGUUUAAAUUUUUGAUACCCACCAUUGUUGGUAAUGGCUCGUUAGAUGUUUGAAAAUGUGCAUAUUAUUAAACAGUAAUAUCCGUUGUACAUUUCUGUUUGGCAGGUGUGAAAUGCACAUGUGUGGAUGGUUCUAAUACACUGCCUUGCCUUUGUGCUUGAAAGCUGUCACCUGUAUGUUUUGUGGAUUUCCAGUGACUAUUGUCAGCAACCAUUGCCUGUGAAUAUCAGAGAAAGAAGAGAACCAGGGAGAGGCACGCUUUGAUUUUUCAGCAAGAAAUGUAUGAAGAUGGAAAGCAAAGAGUGUUUUCAAAACCAAAGCAUUGAUCCACUCACAGAGGUCAGUGGUGCAAACUCACAAACUGGUGGUGGAGGGAUCUUCCUGCAGAAAGAGCAAGCUGGCCCCUGGAAACUGAGUGUGUGUGCAAGUUCUUACCUCUUCUGCCUCAUGAACUCUGUAAAACUUGACAGAUGCUGCUGAUGAAGGGUGGUUUAUGAGGAUGCUUGUCAAUGGCCAAGGGGAGGAAGUGAGGUUGCUCAGGGAACCUGGUGACUGCAGUGGAGGAGCUGGUAGAGAAAGUCCUCAUCCAGUUGUUCUGGCACAUCCAUCAGCAGUAAAGGAUGAAAAAGAGACAUUCCAAGAAGAGGAGAUAAAUUUGGCAGCACUCAUGUGGCAAGUCUCAGUGAAGGGAAGCAGACAUCAGAAAAGCAGAGCAAUUUUAUUUAGUCAUGACUUAAAUAAGAACCUUCUAGUUCCAUUAAUUUAAAUGUAAUAAAAAUAUUAAUAUGAUGUUUCUUAUAUAUGUA
rnacentral:lncRNA from 1 species